AACAAACAGAAAGCUUCAAGAAAGAUGAAUCUCCAAUUCAAGGCAAAGUUGCCCCCCCGCUCCCCCGGACAGAUUAACUCAACACCCCCCAUGGAACUGAACUGAACUGGUUAUCAGCUAACGGGCAGACUGCACGUGGGCCUACAGUACCGAGACGUGUGGUUUCUACAGAAUCCACCAUCAAAAGCUAAUGUGAUCACAGCGGGGGAGCAUCGAAUGAUCGGGACGCAGCUGGAAAGACGUCAGACGUCGUCAGGAAGCCGAGGAAGUGAAACCAGCAGACAAGAGAAGAUGCUCUGCUCACAUUUCUCUGCCUUUUGGCCCAAAUUACUUUUCAUCGUUAAAUCUGUCUUCAUAUUUAUUGAAUACUGGC
ensembl:lncRNA